CCCCACGUGAAAUAAAAAAUAAAUUAUGCCUAGCUCGCGCAUGUGUGUUGUCUGGCAGGGUCUGUAAAUACCUGCAGCACCGUCCAUGUUUCAUAUGAUCUAUAAUUUUUGGAUCAUAUAUUUCAUAUUAUAAUGGAUUAAGAUAUUUGUACAAACUUUGGUUGACAAAAAUUUCAACUCACUCUCACAUGCAUGUGGUCUCCACAUGGAUUAAAUAAUUUCGACAUGUAGACCCCACAUUUCCAUUGUGAGUGUAAGUAAAAGAUUUUGUACAAAAAUGUUAGUAAAUGUUCCGUCUUCCUAUUAUAAUAUAGGGAAAUAAUAAAUGUACAGCACUAAGUAGUGGGGCCCCCUCUUGUGAGGGGACUGUAAGACUUGCUGGUGUGGUGUACAGCAAUCAUCUCCCUAUAUAUGAUGAGAGAGUCUUCGUUUGGAAUCAUUUUGUUAUCAAACUUACAAUGUCAGAAAAUGGAUGAUCGACCCCCUGACAGAAUACUCACAUUAGGGGGAGGGGCGACAUUUUUUUUUUGGAAAUUUUUUAUGCAAUCGGGUCCCAUGACAAUGUGUCUUUGUCAGUCCUUGAGUUAUAUUUCUUCUGACAAUUCAACUUUUUUUUUUUUUAACGAGGUGUCCCAGCUUACACCAGACUAUAUCCUCGUCCCUGAACUUCCGGCCCCUCAGCAGCUCAGGGAGGUAAAUCGCGGCAUGUGCCCAAGUUGACCAGGGUUCGAACAGUUUUUAUACUCUUGGCCCCAAGGGAGCCUCCUCCAUGGUUAUUACAUCACCAAGCUGCUCCAACCCUUCCUCUGGUUAUUACAACACUUAGCUGCUCCAACCAGGAAUCGAACUCCCCACGCUGAGGUUGCGAGCCCCGCACUGUCCUUCCUUUGCCAACUUGGAUGUGCCCCGGAGGGCAUUUAUUCUUUUGUUAUAUAUAUUCCUGCAAGCCAAUUUAUUGAUCUUAAUGGGGUUGGGGGGCCAUCUUCACAAGAGUGAUUAAAAUAAAAAUGAAAAGUGAAAAAAUUCGAGGUUUAUUUUUGUUUAAUGUAUUUUAGGAAAUAUAAAUUAAGUCCCANUAAUAAAUGUACAGCACUAAGUAGUGGGGCCUCCUCUUGUGAGGGGACUGUAAGACUUGCUAGUGUGGUGUACAGCAAGCAUCUCCCUAUAUAUGAUGAGAGAGUCUUAGUUUGGAAUCAUUUUGUUAUCAGACCUACAAUGUCAGAAAAUGGAUGAUUAACCCUUUGACAGAAUACUCAUAUUAGGGGGAGGGGCGACAUUUUUUUUGAAAAUUUUUUAUGCAAUCGAAUCCCAAGACAAUGUGUCUUUGUCAGCCCUUGUGUUAUAUUUCUUUUGACAAUUCAGCUUUAUUCUUUUGUUAGAUAUAUUCCUGCAAGCCACUUUAUUGAGCUUAAUGGGUUUGGGGGGCCAUCUUAACAAGAGUGAUUAAAAUAAAAAUGAAAAGUGAAAAAAUUCGAGGUUUAUUU
rnacentral:lncRNA from 1 species